AGGGGUCAGCAUGCUGUCGCUGACCUGCGGCAGGAUCAUUA
rnacentral:rRNA from 1 species